CUGGCGGCGCGCCUAACACAUGCAAGUCGCACGAGAGGCUCUUCGGAGUAGUAAAGUGGCGCACGGGUGAGUAAUACAUGGGUAACCUGCCUUUGAGAGGGGAAUAACUCGCCGAAAGGCUUGCUAAUACCCCAUACGCUUCCGGUCCCUCGGGUAAGGAAGGAAAGCUGCAUCGUGGAUGUGGCGCUCGAAGAUGGGCUCAUGGCCUAUCAGCUUGUUGGUAGGGUAACGGCCUACCAAGGCUACGACGGGUAGCUGGUCUGAGAGGACGAUCAGCCACACUGGCACUGAGAUACGGGCCAGACUCCUACGGGAGGCAGCAGUGAGGAAUAUUGCGCAAUGGGCGAAAGCCUGACGCAGCGACGCCGCGUGGGGGAAGAAGGUUCUCGGAUGUAAACCCCUUUUAGGAGGAAAGAUGGGGUGGGAAACCACCCGGACGGUACCUCCAGAAAAAGCCACGGCUAACUUCGUGCCAGCAGCCGCGGUAAUACGAAGGUGGCGAGCGUUGUUCGGAUUUACUGGGCGUAAAGAGCACGUAGGCGGUUGGUAAGCCCCUUGGGAAAGCUCCGGGCUUAACCCGG
rnacentral:rRNA from 1 species